CCUACGGGGGGCAGCAGUGGGGAAUAUUGGACAAUGGGGGGAACCCUGAUCCAGCGACGCCGCGUGAGUGAAGAAGUAUUUAGGUAUGUAAAGCUCUAUCAGCAGGGAAGAAAGAAAUGACGGUACCUGACUAAGAAGCCCCGGCUAACUACGUGCCAGCAGCCGCGGUAAUACGUAGGGGGCAAGCGUUAUCCGGAUUUACUGGGUGUAAAGGGAGCGUAGACGGCGAUGCAAGUCUGAAGUGAAAGGCGGGGGCCCAACCCCUGGACUGCUUUGGAAACUGUAUGGCUGGAGUGCAGGGGAGGUAAGUGGAAUUCGUAGUGUAGCGGUGAAAUGCGUAGAUAUUAGGAGGAACACCAGUGGCGAAGGCGGCUUACUGGACUGUAACUGACGUUGAGGCUCGAAAGCGUGGGGAGCAAACAGGAUUAGAUACCCGAGUAGUC
rnacentral:rRNA from 1 species